rnacentral:sRNA from 1 species
GCAGGGGGCCCCAAAGGGGAGUGCUUUUCUCCUGGAGCAACGCCUGGAGGAGCUGAGAAGGGAACUGCAGGGCCUUCAGAGCCAGGUGUGGGAGCAAGCCCAAGCCCCAGCCCAAGCCCAGAUGCAAACAGGACCAGGAGAAUGCAGUACUACCAAUGGCCUUCCUCAGGAGCUGCAGACUGAAAUAGCACUGCUGUCACUCCUACAGUGCUGUGGGAGGACUCAGAGAUUAUGCAGAAGGAAUUGAAGUUGCUGCAGUACCAGUUGAGCCAGCACCAGGAGCUGCUGCUGAAACAGCUGGCUGAGGGACGACAGGCUCAGGUUGGCAGUUGGAAGGAUCUCCAUUCAUGUUUUCCAAUCUAAGCUGCCUCUGCCCACUACCUUCACCAUGUCUGUUUCUUCAUCCAGCUCUUAAUUCAGUCUUCUGGACAGUAACACUAGCUGAGAACUUUUAUGGAAGCCAGAUCCCCAGAGGAGCACCCUUUCUAACCUGGAGCCCAGCAUCUUUCAGCUCCAUGCCCAGAGUCUUAAGCAAGAGGACCUAUUCCUUUGGGGCCCCAAAAUGCUCCUGAAUGACCUGUAAGGACUCGUUAAGAAUAGUAGGAUGAAGGCUUCUUUGCCCACCCUCCCCUCCAAGGCCCUGUUUCUGGGCUGUCUGCCCCUACCUUCUUGAAGUAGCUAUUAUCUGUCUUAUCUACUGAGGCUUUUCACUGCCUGCCCAUCCUUGCCCCCCAUCUCAGCUCACUGCAACCUCUGCCUCCCAGGUUCAAGCAAUUGUCCUGCCUCAGCCUCCCAAGUAGCUGGGAUUACAGGUGUGCGCUAAUUUUUGUAUUUUUAGUAGAGAUGGGGUUUCACCAUGUUGGCCAGUCUGGUCUUGAACCUCUGACCUCAAGUGAUCUGCCCGCCUCGCCCUCCCAAAGUGCUGGGAUUACAGUUGUGAGCCACCAUGCCCAGCCUAUAGCUGUACCUUCUGAGUGCAAGCUCAGUUGAACUUGGAAAGUAAUGGGAGCUCCCAUUCUGGUGAGUAGAAUGAGGUAGGACACUGCUCUAGGGCAGUAGUGCUGGGGGAUGCAAAGGAGGAUGAGAUAUUCUGGUGGGACUUGGAUCUGGACAGUAGGAGGCUACCUUUCCUUAUCUCCAGCUUCUGCCUUUUUUUUUUUUUUUUUUUUUUUUUUUUGAGGCAAGGUCUUACUCAGUUGCCCAGGCUGGAGUGCAGUGGCAUGAUCUUGGCUCACUGCAGCCUCCGCUUCCUGUACUAAAGCAAUCCUCCCACCUUAGCCCCCCAAGUAAUAAUAUAUGGGACUACAGGCACACGCUAUCAUGCCUGGCUAAUUUUUAAAUAUUUUUUGUAGAGACAGGUUUUCACCAUGUUGCCCAGGCUGGUCUCGAACUCCUGGGCUCAACUGAUCCACCAACUUUGGCCUCCCAAAGUGUUCAGAUUACAGAUGUGAGCUGCUACCAUGCCUACCCCCAGCUUCUGCUGCUUGAGGCUCUCUUUGGCAUCUCCACACAUCAUCCUUAGCAGCCCAGACUGCAUUUCUGUAGCAGCCUCUUCCCUGGUCUCUUCUUUCAGUCUCUCUGCCUCUAAUCCAGUGGCUUUAAGAAUUUUUUGGCUGUGACUUCCAGUAAGAAAUACAAUUUACAUUGUGACCUAGUAAAUAUGUGUGUAGAUUUAUUAACUGAAAUAAAAAUGUUAUGAUUUAA